UCAUAUGCUUGUCUCAAAGAUUAAGCCAUGCAUGUCUAAGUACACACCCUAGUAUGGUAAAACCGCGAAUGGCUCAUUAAAUCAGUUAUGGUUCCUUAGAUCGUGUCCUACUUGGAUAACUUCUGACAACCCAGAGCUAAUACAUGCACAAAGGCUCUGACCCCCGGGAAAGAGCGCAUUUACUAGACCAAAACCAACCGGGGCUUCGGUCUCGUUCUAUUUGGUGAUUCUGGGUAACUUUGCUGAUCGCAGGGCCUUGCGCCGGCGACGUAUCUUUCAAAUGUCUGCCCUAUCAACUGUCGAUGGUACGUGAUAUGCCUACCAUGGUUGUAACGGGUAACGGGGAAUCAGGGUUUGACUCCGGAGAGGGAGCAUGAGAAACGGCUACCACAUCCAAGGAAGGCAGCAGGCGCGCAAAUUACCCACUCCCGGCACGGGGAGGUAGUGACGAAAAAUAACAAUACGGGACUCAUUCGAGGCCCCGUAAUUGGAAUGAGUACAGUUUAAAUCCUUUAACGAGGAUCAAUUGGAGGGCAAGUCUGGUGCCAGCAGCCGCGGUAAUUCCAGCUCCAAUAGCGUAUACUAAAGUUGUUGCGGUUAAAAAGCUCGUAGUUGGAUCUCGGGUUCGGGCUGAUGGUCCACCAAUUGGUGGUUACUGUCUGUCCCAGCCUCCUUGCCGGUUUUCUCUCGAUGCUCUUUACUGAGUGUCUUGAGUUGCCGGAACUUUUACUUUGAAAAAAUUAGAGUGCUCAGCGCAGGCAUUUCGCCUGAAUAUUCGUGCAUGGAAUAAUGGAAUAGGACCUCGGUUCUAUUUUGUUGGUUUUCGGAAGUCGAGGUAAUGAUUAAGAGGGACAGACGGGGGCAUUCGUAUUGCGCCGCUAGAGGUGAAAUUCUUGGAUCGGCGCAAGACGAACAACUGCGAAAGCAUUUGCCAAGAAUGUUUUCGUUAAUCAAGAACGAAAGUCAGAGGUUCGAAGGCGAUCAGAUACCGCCCUAGUUCUGACCAUAAACGAUGCCAACUAGCGAUCCGCCGCAGUUACACUCAUGACUCGGCGGGCAGCUUCCGGGAAACCAAAGUUUUUGGGUUCCGGGGGAAGUAUGGUUGCAAAGCUGAAACUUAAAGGAAUUGACGGAAGGGCACCACCAGGAGUGGAGCCUGCGGCUUAAUUUGACUCAACACGGGAAAACUCACCCGGUCAGAACACCGUAAGGAUUGACAGAUUGAGAGCUCUUUCUUGAUUCGGUGGGUGGUGGUGCAUGGCCGCUUUUAGUUGGUGGAGCGAUUUGUCUGGUUAAUUCCGAUAACGAACGAGACUCUAGCCUGCUAAAUAGUUCAUCCGUAACA
rnacentral:rRNA from 1 species